UGGCCGGGUGAUGAGAUUAUAUGGAUUCCCCUUCGGCAGCCUGCACACGCGGGCAGCGACCGACACCCCAUUGACUGACGGCCA
rnacentral:snoRNA from 1 species